CUGCGUUAAGGAUGGAAGCGGUAUCCUUUUUGCGAUAAACUAAAUUUCUGGCGAAGCCCAACUAAUACCCAAAUCGCAAAAGAUUUAGCGUACGGCCUGACCCGGA
rnacentral:sRNA from 1 species